rnacentral:lncRNA from 1 species
CUUCUUUCUGACCUCUGUGAUCAUAACUAUUUGGAUACAUAUCUGUCUUUUCUUCUAGACUCUAAGGUGAAAUGAUUUCACCAGCGCCUUAAAAAGGCAGUGCUCUGGCCCUGACCCUCUUCACCCCGGGCUGGCUAGAGCUGUGCUAGGACGGAAGACUGCAGCGCUCACAACGAUGAGGCCCUGAGGUCCUUGAAGAUGUUUGGGGAAGUGCAGGGAGCCCUCUGACUGAACUCAGCGGGCGUCUCAAUGAGUUGGAGGUCCAGGGCAGCGUCCUCCUCGGCAGGAAACAUGGACUCCUUCAGAGCAUGAUGGGGGAAAGGGAGCUUGCGGGAGAACCACCACCCGAGCGUGGC